rnacentral:rRNA from 1 species
UAGGGAAUAUUGGACAAUGGGCGAAAGCCUGAUCCAGCAAUGCCGCGUGAGUGAUGAAGGCCUUAGGGUUGUAAAGCUCUUUUACCCGAGAUGAUAAUGACAGUAUCGGGAGAAUAAGCUCCGGCUAACUCCGUGCCAGCAGCCGCGGUAAUACGGAGGGAGCUAGCGUUGUUCGGAAUUACUGGGCGUAAAGCGCACGUAGGCGGCGAUCUAAGUCAGAGGUGAAAGCCUGGAGCUCAACUCCAGAACUGCCUUUGAGACUGGAUUGCUAGAAUCCGGGAGAGGUGAGUGGAAUUCCGAGUGUAGAGGUGAAAUUCGUAGAUAUUCGGAAGAACACCAGUGGCGAAGGCGGCUCACUGGACCGGCAUUGACGCUGAGGUGCGAAAGCGUGGGGAGCGAA